rnacentral:rRNA from 1 species
AGAGUUUGAUCCUGGCUCAGAACGAACGCUGGCGGCGUGGAUAAGACAUGCAAGUCGGACGAGAUUUUUCGUUGUAGCAAUACGAUGGAAAGUCUAGUGGCGAACGGGUGCUUAACACGUGGGCAACCUGCCAAGAAGUGGGGGAUAGCUCGCCGAAAGGCGAAUUAAUACCGCAUGUGAUCAGAGAGGACAUCCUUUCGAAAUUAAAGUCGGGGCAACCUGACGCUUUUUGUGGGGCCCGCGGCCUAUCAGCUAGUCGGUGAGGUAACGGCCCACCAAGGCUUUGACGGGUAGCUGGUCUGAGAGGACGACCAGCCACACUGGGACUGAGACACGGCCCAGACACCUACGGGUGGCAGCAGUCGAGAAUUUUUGACAAUGGGGGAAACCCUGAUCGAGCGACGCCGCGUGGAGGAUGAAGGUCUUCGGAUUGUAAACUCCUGUCAUUGGGGAACAAUGCGUGACGGUUAACUGCCGUUGCGUUGAUAGUACCCGAAGAGGAAGAGACGGCUAACUCUGUGCCAGCAGCCGCGGUAAUACAGAGGUCUCAAGCGUUGUUCGGAUUCAUUGGGCGUAAAGGGUGCGUAGGCGGCGCGGUAAGUCGGGUGUGAAAUCUCGGAGCUUAACUCCGAAACUGCAUUCGAUACUGCCGUGCUUGAGGACUGGAGAGGAGACUGGAAUUUACGGUGUAGCGGUGAAAUGCGUAGAUAUCGUAAGGAAGACCAGUGGCGAAAGCGGGUCUCUGGACAGUUCCUGACGCUGAGGCACGAAAGGCCAGGGGAGCAAACGGGAUUAGAUACCCCGGUAGUCCUGGCAGUAAACGGUGCACGUUUGGUGUGGGAGGAUUCGACCCCUUCUGCGCCGGAGCUACGCGUUAAACGUGCCGCCUGGGAGUACGUCGCAGAUUAAACUCAAGAAUUGACGGGGCCCGCACAAGCGGUGGAGUAUGUGGCUCAAUUCGAUGCA